UCAGGACGAACGCUGGCGGCGUGCUUCAUACAUGCAAGUCGAACGAGAAGUUGACUUCGGUCAAUGGAAAGUGGCGGACGGGUGAGUAAAAUGUAGAGAAUCUGCCCUAGAGAGGGGGACAACAGUUGGAAACGACUGCUAAUACCGCAUAUGAGCGUACCUGCAAUGGUAUUCUUGAAAGAUUUAUCGCUCUGGGAUGAGUCUGCAUCUGAUUAGUUAGUUGGCGGUGUAAUGGACCACCAAGACGACGAUCAGUAGCUGGUUUGAGAGGAUGAUCAGCCACAAUGGGACUGAGACACGGCCCAUACUCCUACGGGAGGCAGCAGUAGGGAAUUUUGCGCAAUGGGCGAAAGCCUGAACCGCAGCAACGCCGCGUGAUUGAAUAAGCCCUUCGGGGUGUAAAGAUCUGUCAGUGGGGACGAAACUUGACGGUACCCACAGAGGAAGCAUCGGCUAACUCCGUGCCAGCCGCCGC
rnacentral:rRNA from 1 species